UCGUUGCAGGCCCGGAGGGUCCUAAUGAACAGCUGGAAAAUGUCUUCUCAGCUGUCAUUCAAUGUCCCAGAUGAAAGCGUGUGCUGGCUGCACGAGGAAUGCUUGCCAGAAGUGACCUUCCUUGAUGUUACAUGUAGUUCACCUCAUCCUGCAGGAAUACCUGCUACACCUGUAACAACCGGGUCUGUGAACAGCAGGUUGAACUCGCUCCAGCCCCCCCAGUCGAGUUCCUCCAUCGACUUACACACCCCUGCUCAGAAAAAGACGCCGGAUCUUCUCAAAUGUUGUUUGAGCCAUCCGAAGGCGGAGAGUGAGGCUAUCGGUGCUAAACCUUCACGACAGAAUGGAACAACAACCUUGUUGGAAACGAGCUCAAGUGACGUUGCUCAAGAAAACUGUUCUGAAUUCCACUCUUCUGAACUGUCAGUCUCUUGCGAUAAGAUGGUUGAUCCCCUUGAGAGUAUGUAUCGUCCGGAGCGCUUUCUGGAUUCCCGAUACUUCCCAGAAAUUACUCUGCUGGAUGUCACGCGUGAAUCAGAGCCCACAGACGGAGGAGAAACCUCUUCAAUGCAUGUCACGCAAGAGAACAUUUUGGAAAGCUCUAGGACCUCGUCGGAGCACAGUGGAUCAAACGAGGUAAAGGUUCACACAUCGGGUGAAGACACAUUUGAUACGCAUCCUUCGAAUGUUACUCAAGACAUAAGCUCCUCGAGUGUUGUGACUGUUCAGUGUGCUGCGUCAGAGUUCUCCACUUCUGACACGCAGUGCGACACCAGUUCAAAGAACGUCGCCUCGGAGCUUCAUGGUGAACCUCCGGGGACAUCGAGCACCGAGGAAGCUAACAACAAAGAGCCGCUUUCCUGCCACGAGGCCGAGGAGUUGACGAGCGAGGAGGCGCAGCCGCGCCCGGAAACGUGUGGGUCUGUGAGCAGCGCGUUAACUGCUCUCCAGUCCUCCCAUUCCAGUUCUUCCACCAAUUUAAACACCACUGUUCAAAUACCCGACCCUAAGAAUAUGACAGUGGAUCUUACCCCGUCUAAUGCAAACAGCCCCAAAGGAGAGAGCGAGCCUACAGAUCCGGCUACUUCGGUCUCUAAGGACGCCACUGAAACCUCCCUCUGUAUUAAUCGAACUUUCCCGGCCGUAAAGGCAACAGGUUCGUCUGAUGUGCAGAACAGCAUUUCUGAUGGAAAUUGCCUUCGAAUAUCCUGCGGUAAUACUUUUAUAGGAAACGCUGGCUCUGGGACCCUUCUUCUCCAGAACAACACCUUCGAUGCUAAACCUCCCAAGCAGAACGACACAAUAACUUUGUCAGAAACGAGCCUCCAGAACACUUUUGACAAGUCCACUCCUCCUGGGGUUUGUAAUGCAACGAGUACCCCUAAAGAAAGCAGUUCCAAAGCCCAACCCCCCGAAGAUGAUGGGACAUCAUCGAGCACAGUCCCUAAUACAGAGACGGCUGACACCCCUGACUGCAUGUUGGAAGUUAGUCCAGCGGUUGAAGUGGCUUCUGGCGAUGGUCAAUGCGAGACUACGAACCGAUCACGAUCCAGUCUGCCUUUGACAAAUGGGCUCUCUGACACUUUGGGCCUUCAAAACAUGGAAACGGAAAACAACAAUGAAAACACGUUCAAUUUGGAUGAAUCCCUGGAUUUAAGGGCAGCCAUUUCGAUCACUUCGACGCCGAUGACCACCUGUAAGAUUUUAAGCGUAACCGCCGAACGAGUGGAGGGCAAAACGAUAGCGGCGCAGAAAAGGCUGUAUGGGGAUGGUCCCGCUUUGCCAGCUGGUCCGACGCCAUCAGAUGUUCCGUCAAACAUCGUCUGCGACCGCAAAACGACGUUUGCCCAUCCAGCGGCCAAAUCCCUCCUGCCUCCUUUCAGAGCUGCGUCCCAGCCUUUGAGGCAGAAGCCAGGCGCCGCCGCCCUCCCCGCGAGGUUUGAUGCGUCGACUUCAGGCCUGCCCAUGACGAGGCAAAGGACCCAGGCUGUAGCAGCGAAGAACACGCUUAAUGCAGCCCAGGCCACAGGAGUAUCAAGCUCCUACAAAUUGCGGGCUUCUACAACAGGAUUGAAGAUACCCAAUUCAGGCUUGCCGAGACCUCAGUUGAGUGGCAUACCGUCAGGCAUCCAGAGACCUGCAGCAGGUCUCAGGCCGCCAUCAGCUAGAAGCAACGCAGCGUCAUCGUCAUCAUCACACGCUAACAGACCCCGUGGACCGACAGCUGCUAACCCAAUGACGAAGGCUACACAUUCAAAGAAGCAGCCCUUAGCCAGAGGUGAAACUUUAGCAAAGAAGAAAAGAAUGGAUCCAUCCAGCACGUCUGCGUUAUCCAGCUCUGCUGCCGAGGUCUCAACGUGUUGCGAUGCUGUCGGCAGACACAAGGCCCUGAAACAGCCCGCGACCAGCCAUCAAGCUCUGCAAGCCAAAGGAAAAGGCCACGAAUGCCCCACCUGCUUCAUGCUUAAACAGCAACUCAAACAACAAUCCGAAGAAAUACAGAGGCUCAAAGAAGAGCUGCUGAAGAAAAGUUAG
ensembl:lncRNA